rnacentral:rRNA from 1 species
GAUGAACGCUGGCGGCGUGCCUAAUACAUGCAAGUCGAGCGAAUGGAUUGAGAGCUUGCUCUUAUGAAGUUAGCGGCGGACGGGUGAGUAACACGUGGGUAACCUGCCCAUAAGACUGGGAUAACUCCGGGAAACCGGGGCUAAUACUGGAUAACAUUUUGAACCGCAUGGUUCGAAAUUGAAAGGCGGCUUCGGCUGUCACUUAUGGAUGGACCCGCGUCGCAUUAGCUAGUUGGUGAGGUAACGGCUCACCAAGGCAACGAUGCGUAGCCGACCUGAGAGGGUGAUCGGCAAACAUGGGACUGAGAAACGGCCCAGACUCCUACGGGAGGCAGCAGUAGGGAAUCUUCCGCAAUGGACGAAAGUCUGACGGAGCAACGCCGCGUGAGUGAUGAAGGCUUUCGGGUCGUAAAACUCUGUUGUUAGGGAAGAACAAGUGCUAGUUGAAUAAGCUGGCACCUUGACGGUACCUAACCAGAAAGCCACGGCUAACUACGUGCCAGCAGCCGCCGUAA